rnacentral:rRNA from 1 species
UACGGGGGGGGCAAGCGUUGUUCGGAAUUACUGGGCGUAAAGGGCUCGUAGGCGGCCAACUAAGUCGGAUGUGAAAUCCCCAGGCUUAACCGGGGAACUGCGUCUGAUACUGGAUGGCUUGAAUCCGGGAGAGGGAUGCGGAAUUCCAGGUGUAGCGGUGAAAUGCGUAGAUAUCUGGAGGAACACCGGUGGCGAAGGCGGCAUCCUGGACCGAGAUUGACGCUGAGGAGCGAAAGCUAGGGGAGCAAACGGG